rnacentral:rRNA from 1 species
UGGGGAAUAUUGGACAAUGGGCGAAAGCCUGAUCCAGCCAUGCCGCGUGAGUGAUGAAGGCCUUAGGGUUGUAAAGCUCUUUCGGCGGGGAAGAUAAUGACGGUACCCGCAGAAGAAGCCCCGGCUAACUUCGUGCCAGCAGCCGCGGUAAUACGAAGGGGGCUAGCGUGGCUCGGAAUCACUGGGCGUAAAGCGCACGUAGGCGGCUUUCUAAGUCAGGGGUGAAAUCCUGGAGCUCAACUCCAGAACUGCCUUUGAUACUGGAAAGCUUGAGUUCGGGAGAGGUGAGUGGAACUGCGAGUGUAGAGGUGAAAUUCGUAGAUAUUCGCAAGAACACCAGUGGCGAAGGCGGCUCACUGGCCCGAUACUGACGCUGAGGUGCGAAAGCGUGGGGAGCAAACA